UCACCGGACGCUGCGCGGUAAGGCGCAGUCACCAAUACAAUCGACUGCAUAAAUAGACGGAGGAGAGGUUGCGAGAGAACCAUCAUCAACUGCGCCUUUCACCGCCAUUCUCACAGCAACAAAUCCUUCGACCCAUCGAUUAUUUCCAGAUUUCCAGAUCGAUAUAUUCUUCUUCUUUGCUGGCUACAAUCUUUCAGACGAGGAGGCGAUGGCGGCGAAAGAUACAGAUUCUUCCAAUGACGUCGCUCGACUGGGAGCGUUAGGGACAGAAGAAGCCCUGACUCGCGUUCGGAACCCCCCUCGAGUUUACAGCUGCGGCAAGUGCCGAACCCAUGUCUCGCGUUCCGAUGACAUCCUAGCAGAAACACAGGAGCAUUAUGGGCCUGCGAUUCUAUUUUAUCGUGCCAAGAACAUAUAUUUGGGGCCAGAGCAAGGCUGGCGGCGACUGAGAGGAGGACUGUCUAAGGUUGCCGAUGUCUUCUGCCGUGGAUGCGAUGAGAACUUGGGAUGGAAGUAUGUAAGAGCUCCUGAUGUGGCGAACAAGGUUAAAGAAGGGAAGUUCUCCAUUGACAAUACAAAGAUUGUCGUGGUGUAAAGUUGUAAAUGGAUGGUGUGUUGAAUAAUGUGGUUCUGCGUGAUCCUGGAUCUUUGGAUAGAUCGAUAGAUAGAUACCCUCAUCUAUUCUUGUACAUAAGUUAACCUUCCCAUCGUAGUGUGUGCUUUAAGCAUUUUGCCUGUUGACAACUGUUGGUCUCUGUAAAUAUCGGUGGCGUUGUUCCUCCAAUCAUGAAAACAUUUUUAUUUGUCUCGUGUGCUUUACCCAUUUAAACAAUGCUUCAUGAGUUGCUUUUGCUGCA